GUCGAAACACUUUUGUUUGCAUUUUAUGAAUCAGAUGAAAUACUGAUAAUCAACGAUAUGCCAUGACUCGUUUAUCUAACUAAAUUGGAUAAAAAAUGUCAAUAGUGAAUUGUCUUGUGGGUUACGGCGAAAUUGGAAAUAUAACAGUAUUCAUAAUGGAAAGCACAGAAGGACAUAAAGAGAUAUUUUUGUCUGUGAACUAUGGUUAUGUUAACAAACAGCAACGGACAAACCCAACGGUUGGCUAGAGAGAAGGGUAGCCA